CCACACAGCCACGGUAUUUCACUGCGCUCCUGGCCAUGAUUAGAGGGGGAUUUUCACUUCUAAUGUCCCACGAUUUUGUCCUUCAAGUUAAGUCCUUGAAAACAUCUUUAACGGGGAUCAUCCGGGGCUGCAUCCAAAGAGACGUGGCCAGCAGGGCGAGGGAGGUGAUUCUACUCCUCUAUUCCUCUCUUGUGAGACCUUAUGUGGAGUAUUGUGCCCAGUUCUGGAAUCCCCAAAAUAAGAAGGAGAUGGAGCUGUUGGAACGGGCCCAGAGGAGGCUACAAGGAUGAUCUGAGGGCUGAAGCACCUCCCAUAUGAAGACAGGCUGAGAGAGUUGGGGUUGUUCAGCCUGGAGAAGAGAAGGCUCCGAAGAGACCUUAUAGUGACCUUCCAGUACCUGAAGGGGCUCCAGGAAAGCUGUGGAGGGGCUGUUCACAAAGGCUUGUGAAGAGGGGAUAUGGGUGUAAACUGGAGAGGGGCAGAUUUAGACUAGACAUAAGGAGGAAUUUCUUCACUAUGAGAGUGGUGAGGCCCUGGCACAGGGAAGCUGUGGCUGCCCCAUCCCUGGAGGUGUUCAAGGCCAGGUUGGAUGGGGCCUUGGGCAGCCUGGUCCGGUGGGAUGUGUCCCUGCCCAUGGCCGGAGGGUUGGAACUAGAUGAUCUUUAAGGUCUCUUCCAACCCAACCUAUUCUAUGAUUAUAUGAUCAUGUGUGUUUAUGUGUUUUCCAAGGUAUGAAUUAUAACUGGAUGCCCAGCUCCUAUAGACUUCAUGUCCCAGCUAAAGGAUAUCACGUGGUCCCAGCCAUACAGGGCCUCCGCUGAAGCCAGUGAUUUGUGACCCUCAGUUAGUGAAACCGUGCUCCAGCAAUGCGAGUGUCUCUGGGAGAGCUGCAAGACCUGUGCUUGGAGGGAAGACUGGACUUUUAAGCUGCAAUGGUUUCAUCAAGGGGAACAAACCAUGAGUGUCUUUAUGCAGGUCUAAAAGGAAUCUCAAGGCAGGUACAAGAAAUUCACCAAGGAGAAGUUUGGGAAGACAAACCUGCCAAGCUGCCAGUGAUGUCUCCCUAACAUGCCAAUCUGCGUACCUGCCAUUGCUCCAGAAGACUGAAAAGCAAGGUGAUGAGCCUUUCCUAUGCAGUGUUGGAAGCAUGGAGCAGUCUUUCUGUUAGUCCUACCAGCAGAGCCUUCACCCCUAAAAGGAAGUCAGGAAGAGAUAAGGUCCAACUCCGUAGACCUUCAUUGUUCUUUUGUACCAGGAUUGUUAACGUGGAAAGCAUUUCCCUGAAAGUAUGCAAGAGCAAUACAUUUUUUCCAUGUUUGAGAGGGUAGGGAAUGUUACUCGUUUUCAUUGCUUUUUAUGAAUGGGUGUUAAUCCCUCUAUAGCGUCUCCUCCUUGUUCUUCACCCAAAACUUAGGCUUUUCUCACCUGUUUCCCUAGAGAAACAAUUCUACCUGCAUCCUCCAGAGCCAUUACCUUGUACCAAAUGUGUUUUGCUGUUCCCUUCCUUCCCCCAUCCCUUGAAAUGUGCCAACCCCAUUACACACUGCCUGAGCUCUGAUUGUGAGAACAUAGUUUGGGACAUUUGCAAGCCAUCUUUGCCUUGUGAAAUGGUCGCUCACAGGUUCCCUCUCCAUAUCUGGUUGGUGUCAAUAUCUGUGUGAGUCUUGCCUUUACUUUCCUUAGCUAUUGAAAGUGGAGAUGGCCCAGAUGGGGCCUUUUGAGGCAAUAGAAGUCCUUUUUAGAAUUUAUGAGUAGAGCUUGAGAUUUUGCCAUUCCAGCAUCUGAAUUUAGUAAUCCUGGUGGUUUCACUUGCAAUAGCUAUCGUGUUUGCUUGAUGAGCAUGAGACAGAAAGUGGAUCUGUAUUUUUAAUCAUUGAUAUUAGUGAUUUUACUUUCAGUGUAGGAACUUUAAUGUGGGUCCUGAUGGCUCACAGGAGGCAAAGCACUUUGAAAAUCAAAGUGCAUUACUUUUCGUCAUAUUGUUACCCUACACCAUUAUCUAGAGAAUAAGGUGAGCCAUUCAGGAAACUGUUUGUAAAGCUAUUGGCCUGACAAAGGUGGAGCAGCACUUCACCAGAGUUAAGAAGAGAGGGUAAGCAUGCACACAUUAAGAUGAAGAUUCCUUUCUCUUCUCCCCUCUCUCAUCCCUACUGAUCUGGAAAAGAAAGUGAUAAUGCAGAAAUAACCGUCAUCAUUCUGUGAGGCCAAUAGUGAUUUGAGCCUGAUAGUCCAUUGGUUUAUUCUUGUAAUUUUAUUGAAGCCAGAGGAACACACCAGCAGGAAAAGUAGCCCAGUACCUCAUUGCUCUGUCAGCAUCCGCUAAUGGAAAGGACACAGAAUAACUUCCUUGAAAAAUUCCUCAAGUCUUCUGAAGUGCUUACCUGGUUGUUUGCUGUUCUCUCUGCUGCUUUAGUGAAUGGCAAGUGGAUGAUACUUUGCACAUCCAUGAAGCACAGGCACCAGUGUUUGCAAAAGGCUUGAACUUUCCUUUAGCUCAACAUCACAAGUUUUAAUACAGCAUCUCUGUCUGCAGAGGGUGAUCAUAUUUAUCUAGCUCAAGCAAUGCUAUGAAGAUGACUUCUAUGGAAAUGCCACAUGGAAAAAGCUACAUUUUUAUUACUAUUUGCAUUAAUUACUUUUCUUUUAUUAAUUUCCUUGGCUGGAUUGGAGCACUUACAAGAGACAGAGCACUUAGCAAAUGAAAGUACAUUAUUUUUCAUCGUAUUAUUGCAUUAUACCAUUAUCUAGAGAGUGAAGUGCACCCUUCAAGUUAUACAAGCCGUAAUUUCAUUGAAGGCUCCUAGGAUUUCUGGACCACAAGAGCAAAGCUGCAGCAAUUUAGUCACAGGAAAAUCAAAUUACAACCCCUUUAAUACCCAACUGGGAAUAUGCUAUUCUCUGAUAUACCCCAGGUUGGAAUAAGUGUUUCUGAGAUGCUGAAACUGGAUGGAUCGUACCUUUUAAGGACAUUUUAAGUCACAGUACCCAUUUAGAGCCAACCUUGGCCUCACUGUCUUUUCCUGCUACUUUGACAUAGAGGUCAGAGCCAAGAAUCUGUUGGUGAGGAAAGCUAAAGCCCAAAUGGAAUUGAAUCUGUCCAUGGCAGUCGAAGACAACAAGAAGGGCUUUUAAAAGUACAUAGGAGACAAAAGGAAGGGUAGGGAAAAUAUGGGCCUAUUGCUCAAUGAGAUAUGGAUCCUGGUUACACAGGACCUGGAAAAGGCUAAUAUACUGAAUGUUUAAUAGUCUCAGUCUUUACUAGCAAGACCUUCAGGAAUCCCAGGUCCUAGAGACCAGGAGGAAACACUGGAGCAAGGAAGAUGUACUCUUGUUGAAAGAUGAUCAAGUCAGGGAAUUCUUAUGCAAACUGGACCAGAAGUCCAUGGGCCCAGAUAGGAUGCACCCAGGAGUGCUGAUGGACCUGGCAGAUGUCAUUGCAAAGCCACUCUCAGUAAUCUUUGGUCAUGGUGACUAAGAGUAGUGUUCAAAGGCUGGAACAAAGCAAAUGUCACUCCUAUCUUCAAGAAGGGCAAGGAGGAGGGCCCAGGCAAUUAUAGGCUGGCCAGCCUCGCCUUGAUCCCUGGCAGUGUCACAGAGCAGCUAAUUCUGGAAACCAUUUUUCAGGCAUAAUAAGGACAAGAAAAUCAUUGGGAACAAUCAGCAUGGCUUCAUUAAGGGGAAAGCACGUUUGACUGCCUUGAUAAAUUUGUAUAAUGAAACAACUGGCCUGGUACUUAAGGAUAGAGCAGUGGAUAUUGUCUACCUGGACUUCAGUAAGACUUUUGACGCUGUCACCCUCAGAUCCUCAUAGACACGCUGUAGGAGCUGGGUAAGCAGUCAGUAAUGUCAAUUGAAAACUGCCCGAAUGGCCAGGCCCAGAGGGUGGUGAUCAGUGUCAUGAAAUCUAGUUGGAGGCCAGUAAUUAGCAGUCUGCCCUAUGGGUUAAUACUGGGUCCAGUCCCGUUUAGCAUCUGCUUUAAUGAUCUGUGUGAUCUCCAUCCUCGGAGACACUAAAAAAUCAUUUCGACUUGGUCCUGGACAGCUGGCUCUAGGUGGUCCUGCUUGAGCAGGGCAUUGGACCGUAUGAUCUCCUGAGGUCCCUUCCACCCCCAACUGUUCCGUGAUUCUGUGUUAUUGAGGAAAAGUCUUUAAUUUCAGCCACUGACUUUUAAGAAAAAUAAGCUUUGCAUUUUACCCCUCUUAAAUUGCUUCCAGUGGUGAUUGUUUUAUUAGGGCACUUCCUGUUUUAACUUCAUCUCGGCUAUGCUGCAGCUCACAAGACUUCUCUUCUGUUGUACAGCAAUAUGAUUUCACUGGACUUUUGUUUAACAGAUGCUUUACAGACUUUUUUUGAUGACACUAAACAGGACUUUGUUUAUCAUGUGGGUAUCACAUGCCUCCUCGAUGUUAGCCAUGGCUAAACACAAGAGAUACCCCUUUGAUCUUUAAUUACUUUACCACACAUACAGAUAAUUUUUGAGAAGUCUAAUUAAUUUUUUAUUCCGUCAGGUUCUUCAAACUUUUGCAAGCUUUUCUAAGUGAACAGUUUGAGCGUUGUGGUUUCUGUCUCAGGAAAACCACCAUCCAGUAUGGAAAGAGUCCCCAGAUUUCUCAUGCAGAGACUGAGCCAGGCAAAAUCAGUUGUAACAACCACCUCCUCUGCAUCAGCCCAGCACAGAACAGAGCGGGCAGGAUACAGAGCACUUUCUGGGAGGUUCUAGAAUUUUGUGGAGCAAAUUCUUACUUACAUCCAUCAGUAGACAGUUUUCUGUCUCUUUCAAGUUACUUCUGUUGAAGUAAUGAGUGAAAGGCUCAACUGAUACCUAUAAAAUACUUUGGCUUCAUGCUUUGCCAGCAUAAGUGUCUCCAAAAGCUGCAAAGGCGAGGUAGACCAUGAAGGGUUCAGCUGGGUUUUGGCUGGUGAAGGGAAUACUGAAAGAAGUCUGCAGAAAGAUGCAGCACUCAUUUCAUCCCGUGUCCUGGGAGAGCUGCUCAUUCCUUGUGCAGCCUCUUUUUUUUUUCCUCCUGAUGGUCUUCCCAUUAGGCAGCCUUUGCUUCAGAAAUCCAGCUUCUGCCCUGGUUAUUUAGAGGUAAUAAAUCUAAGAGGUAAUGAAGAAGUUAUAAUUAUGCACCAUGGGGUGUACAUGCAGCCCAUGCUAGCAGCGUUUAUGAGCCAGAGUGUUUGCAGACCCUAAAUGUUAUGUAAAUCUCACCCAAUUCAGGGGAGAUGCCUUUUUUGGCUCUUUGUCUCCACACUGCCUUCUACACAUGCAAAGCCACAUGGAAAUCAGGCUUCAUUUCCAACAUUUGCAGCAUGCCCUGCAAUCUCUGGAGGAUGAAAAGCAAGAUGUUGCCCAGCUAUGCACCAUUCUUUUCUGUAGGGUUUUCUGCAUCACUGAGAAGAAGUAUCAAAGCAAGGAGUAUUUCUUCUGCUCUGUGCCUUUUCCCUGCGUGCAGCAUUGCAGCAUUAUCGCUCCUGUUUUCAGCUCAGGCCCCCUGUGGGAGGGCAAGACAAUAGAAGUUCAGUGGACCUCUGUGGGAGAAAAUGUGUCCCACACAGCAUAUUAAGUGCCCUGAACGCAGGGAUGUGUCUCAGCAUCACCUCACUAAUGCUGUCGGUUCCCCAGCAGCACAGCCUGCUGCAUGGCAGGGCAUGCACUGUGUCACAUGCUGGCGCAUGGGCUCUCCCCAGACUCCUGGCAGAUAAACAACCCAUGGCUAAGUAUUUUUCCUUGUCAAUCCUAAUUUUGUAACAUCUGUACCCAAAUUUGGUG